CCAGCAGACACCAGCCAUGAGCCUUCCCAGCUGACACAGAAUGGCACAAUGUUGACUUCACUCUCCUGACCCACUGCAAUCAGGAAAUUCAUCUUCUGUUUUACAGAGUAAAAUACCAGGAAACCAGAAGACAGAGCCUGGCUGGAAGGGUUUCCCACUCGCCUUAUACCCUGCAAAAAAGCAGGCCAAGCAUUAAGUCUUCACAGUAGCUCCAUUGAUAAUGGCCCCAAACUGGAAAUAGCCCUGGUGUCUUGGAACAGGAGAAAGCCAGGUGGAGCUCAUGGGCUGGAGGAGCCCAGAGAGGAGUCUGAAGCCUGGGCAGAGGACUGCUCUCCGAGGGCCGAAGGUGGUGGCAGGGGCUCCAGUGUGGCUGUGCACACCUCGGCCACCAGUGGGCGCCCCUGAACACAGCUGCCACCCGGGACAGUUGGCAGGUGAUCCUCAGGACCCAAGGAGGCAGCUGGGGGAGGGGCGAACUGGGCAAAGCAUGGGAGGAUUGGGACUUCCCGUGACGGGAAGCAUCUGAGUGUCCCCACUGCUCCCAGAUGAAUGUAAGUGCUUUGGAGGCUUGGGAGGUGUUGGGGGAGAAUGCAGGGUUUGGGGAAACAGACACUCUCCUAGCAGGAGCCUAAGCUGGGUAAGUAACUGAGGCAGCACCAUGAACACAGGCUGCAGGAGUACUGAAGACUUUCCAGGAUGUGGCAGCCCCUGGAAUUUGGCCGAAGUGCAUGGGGAUGAGCAGGUGGGACCUACAUGAGCCCAGAUGGAGGGACUGAAGAGUCAG